UGUCGUCAGCUCGUGUCGUGAGAUGUUGGGUUAAGUCCCGUAACCGAGCGCAACCCUUGUCCUUAGUUACCAGCACGGUUAUGGUGGGCACUCUAAGGAGACUGCCGGUGACAAACCGGAGGAAGGUGGGGAUGACGUCAAGUCAUCAUGGCCCUUACGGCCUGGGCUACACACGUGCUACAAUGGUCGGUACAAAGGGUUGCCAAGCCGCGAGGUGGAGCUAAUCCCAUAAACCGAUCGUAGUCCGGAUCGCAGUCUGCAACUCGACUGCGUGAAGUCGGAAUCGCUAGUAAUCGUGAAUCAGAAUGUCACGGUGAAUACGUUCCCGGGCCUU
rnacentral:rRNA from 1 species